AAAAAUCUGAGCAACCAAGUGGGAGCUCCAGAAAAUCAAACAUGAGGCAUUUCCAACCUUAGGGAAUCAAGGUACAUUUGCGGGGGGGGAAAGCAUGAAACUCUGAGUAUUAGGAAUAUCCUGCAGCAAACAGCCAUAGCCUUUGACAUCUGCCACAUAAGGGGACAAGUGAUAGCUAUCCUUUAUGAAGCACUUAAUAUAUGCAGACUACAAUGCACUGCCUCCUGCUUCCCCACGCACACACACCAAAUAACCCCAUGGAGACCAAUUUACAGAUUAAGGAACAAAAGUGUUGCAGGAAGGGGGACCCCUUCCAGGGCCUGGGCUCUUGUCUCAUACUCAGAAAUGAACUGAGGAAACACAUGUGCUGACAAAGCAAGAGACUUUAUUGGGAAGGGAUGCCCAGGUAGAGAGCAGCAGGGUAAGGGGACCCAGGAGAACUGCUCUGUCAUGUGGCUCAAAGUCUCUGGUUUUAUGAAAAUGGGCUUAUUUUCCGCUUUGUCUCUGGCCAGUCGUCUUGCUGGGCCCAUACUUGGUCUGGCUAAGGAUCCUUCCUGAUGGCACGUGCAUCUCUCAGCCAAGAUGGAUUCCAGUGCCAAGGAUCCUGGGAGGUUGGUCCUCUCUGCCCUCCCAUUGGCCUCCUCCUGGUUAGUCUUCAGGGUAGCACCACGUUCCUCAUCAGGGCCUCCUGUUUUGAGACAAUUCAUGCAUCAUGCGAGUGGCUAUUAUUGUGCCUGGCCAAGGUGGGCAGUUUCAGUCAGUGAUCCCCUAACAGGAGUACAGAGCGGUUAAGUAACUUGCCCUAGGCUGGCCAGCCAGCCAGCAGGCAGAGCUGGCCUGGGAGAGAAGGCAGUUGGACCCCAGAGCCUGCACUCUUCACCCAAAUUUCCUUUCGGGGAACUCCCACUGUGCAUGGCAUUGGGGAGCCACCCAUGAGCAUCGCCUUUCCUAACUCACACCAGGCCAACUGGACUUCCUGGCCUAGAAUGUUGACUCCUAAAUGUUGUGACACAAAUAGAAGAAAGUUAAGCAGAAAUGGUUGACAAAUUUUCCUUCAAGCAGAGGCAUUCAGACUCCUUACAUUGCCCUGGGUCCCACUUUCCUGUCCAUUCUACCAGCUGCCUCUUUUCACACCAAUAAACUAGAUAAGCUUCUGCUUAGGUAAGUCAUUGUUCGUUUCCCGGCUUGCAAGCAGAGAAUCCCAGUACAGAAAAUACCCAGGAAGGGAAUUACAGACAUCUUGGGCCCUAUGGGCCUCUUAUAGCAGCUAGAGAGUCAGUCUGUGGAGCAGGGAAGGCCAAAAGGUAUGAAGACUGGCCUCAGACUCAAUUGACGAAUGAGGGGAAGGGAAUAAAAGCCACUGAGGCUUCUAUCUCCAAAUGUUUGGAGAAGAUAUGACUUGCAUGUUCCCGGAAGUGCCUAGGCUUGCACCACGCUGCCUGGAUUUAAACAGUGGCUCUCUUACCAGCUGCAUAACUUUGACAAGCUAUUUAAUGCCUCUGAACCAGUUUCCUCUUCUUGAACAGAGUGUAUAUUAAUAUCUGCUUUGCAGAGUUGAUGGGAGGACCCAAUGAACUAACAGGGUAUUUCAUCACUUCAAUGGUGUACAUUUCCCGCAUUUUAUCUUCUCUAAAAAUUGGAAGGUGGCUUACAAUGGAUAAAAAAUAUUGAUGAUUGGAUGGAAUGUUUUUUUUGUUGUUGGUGGUGGUGGUGCAUGAAAUAAAAGUAAGUUAUUGCUGUCAUCUUAGAUUCAGUGAUAGAAUAUGCCUGGAUUUAUGGCUUAAAAUGUUAGGAACUAUUGUUCUUAUUUAUAUCACCAGCUUGUAGCACAUCAUAAGCACUCAGUAAUUGUGGGCUCAGAGAAGAUCCCUCAUGAGCUUGAGCCUGACCUGAAGGUACAUUUGAACAUCUAACCCAGAAGAGGUCAGGGAAAGGUCACAUUUGGGCUCUCUUUCUGGGGAGAGAGGUCAUUACAAACCUACAAAGAGGAAGAAAUUAUGAAACUCUGGCUGCAAUAAAUCAGUCUGGACAGGUUGUCUGUGUUUUCAGGGAAUUCUGCAAACAUGUUUCCCCUUGGUUCCACAUUUGCAAUAUAACACCACUGACCCCUCCACCACUGCUUCCUGGUCCACCGAAGAGUCAACCAGACCAAAGGUAGCAACCAGGAAGUGGACAGUAAGUGAUUGUUUCAUUCCCAGGCUCUGCUGGACCCAUGAUAAGCCCUUUCUAAAUUCUAUCAAUCAUCAGCUUGGCCACAAAAUUGGGCAUCUGCAGCUCUCUGAUUGUCGUUGAGGUAACUGUCCAGAUCACAACACUUUUUAUCAGAUUUUAUUGUCUCGGACCUAGAGGUGCAAUUCUAUAUGGGCUUUCAGUUCACCUGGGCAUCUUUAUCAAUGUUUACUCAUGUAAAAUAGUUGACCAGGGAGAGAAAAGUACUGCAUGAUAACUAAGAGAGCAUGUAAAUGCCCGAGUUCAUAUCGUCACUCCUAAAUCCGUGACCAAAUAAGAAAUCUACGCAACUCUUUCAGCCUCAGUGAUUUCAUCUGUAAGAAUAAUAAUAGUUAGCAAAAUUGUGUACCAGGCACUACUCUGUGUGGCGAACACACGACUGCUUAUUUGAUCCUCACAAUCAUCUCUGAAAUGGGUAUCCUAUUAACAUCCUCCUUUAACAGAUGGAGAGAAGGAUGCUUCAAGAGGUCCUGUCACUUGCCCAGUGUCACAGCUAGACAGUGGCAGACCGGCUGCCUGGAGUGCAUCCUCUUGACUACAACUCUAUGUUGUAUUCUAAACCUGAUUGAUGCCUCCUUGAUAGCAAGAGUAUGUUAAAAUUAAAUGAGAUAAUCAAUGCAAAGCAUGUAGCUCAGGGAUAGGCUUUAUACACCCAAUAAAAUUUGGCAGCUGUUAUGACAGCUUUCAUUUACCAAACACUGAUCAUGUGCCACACGCUUCUAUGUCCCUGACCAUGCAGCCUCUCUCGUCUUCACAAUGACCCAAGGAAAUAAGAAUUAUUAUUAUCCUCCUCUUAACAAUGAAAAGCUAGGUUCAUAGAGGAUUUGUCCUUACAAAUUACUAUGUACCAGUCACCUUUGCAGGUACCGGGCGAGAGUGACUUGCCCCAGGGCACACAAGGAUUGACUGGGUAUGUCUCCCUGAUUUCAAGACCCAUUCUCUCUCCAUUAAACCCAUGGCUCCAACAACAGGCUCUAUCUAUCUGGAAAGGGUGCCAAGAUCAUUUCAAGGGGACCAGGCAAGGCUGGGGUUCUGUUGUGGACCAUGAUAAUCAAAAAAUAGGAGUUGUUCCCAGCAUAUAAUGAACUGCCCUAGAAUUGAUCAUACAUUGCCAGUAUAAGAAGGGACCUUGGCAGUUCCUUGGUUCCAGGCUUCUCUUCGCAGUAAAAGAAGGGAGAUUGGAGACCUGCCCAAGGGAUGCAGUUCCUCAGCAGAGCCAGAGCAAAACCCCAUGGGUUCCCAGCCGAAUCAUCCUUUUUUGCCAACCACUCAACACAAAGAGAGGAUGGUAAGCUGCACCAAAGGGCUUCCAUUCAAGUCUUUUAAUAUGCAGUUUAUUUUGGCAUCCUAAAGGCUGUACAUGUUUGCUAUAGAAAAUUGGGAAAAUACAGAAAUGGAGAAAGUUGUGACAAAAAUAAAAUAUCCUGUUUCCCACCACCCAGAGAGCUGUAGAUAACUUGGCAUGUUUCCUUCUAGGCCUCUUCCUAUGCAUAGCUUUUUGUUUGUUUUGUUUUUAGUUUGUAGAUACUUGUGAAGGCACUGUGUAUGCAAUUUGUUACCAGCCUUCCCACUUAAAUUAUAAAUAUUUUCCCAUGUUAUUACAGACUCUUCAUAAACAAUUUUCCUUUUCAAUAAUGAAAUGCUAUAGUUUCCUGCUCUAUUCCUACACCCUACUCUCCCACACACUGGCACCUAUUGAGGUCCCCUUGGGAACCACUUUAAACCAUCUGUAUUUAAAGUUUCUCUGACUGUUACCUCCAUAUAGCUCAAUAAUAUGUGGCUUCUAGAUUUUUCUACUUUGAGAAUUGUCUGUUGAAUUUCUGCUAUGAUGGAUGGCAACUGAGCUUAUUUAUACAAACACCACCAGAUACAUCCUUUCCCCUGCAUCUUCUCCCAAUAAUUAUGACUUAUAUUUUAAUUCCCUCCUUAGUUACCAUUAUAAUAAAUAGCAUAGUGUAACCUCACUUUUUAUUUCUAUUAAUUACAUAGAGUUUUUAUUUGGGUUUAGAUUUUAACAUUUUGCAAGAUAAAGAUCUUGUUUUCCUCUCUGACCCUCCUCAACUUUUGCUAACUAUAGUUUUUCUUUUGUCGGUUGUGAUAAUGUUUAUGUUAUCUCCUUAAUCCAUAAUUAAGACACUAAUGCUUUCUUUAUAGGCUGAUUCUUGAACUUGAAAACUAAUAGGCAACCUUUACAUUAUUUUGAAGAAUGAGAAUCACUUAUGACUGCAUAAUAUUCCAUAGUAUGGUUGGCCCUCAAUUUCCCCAUCCAGUAAAUGUUUACAUUGGAUUCAAAGAGGCUUUAUCCUCAUUAUUUCUAUUAUAAAUUAUGCUGUGAUGAAAGUCUUUGAUUUUUUUGUGCAUAUGUCUGAAUCAGCUUCUCUGAUGGUUUCUUUAGGAGAGACAGAUACCCAGUAGUUGCCAGUAGGGUGCCUGACGUAUUGUAAACUCUUAAUCAGUAUUUGUCAAAGUAAUAGAUGAAGUGUGGCAGCUGUGAACAGUUUCAAGACUCUUGAAAUACCACAAAACUACUUUCAGGAAGUACUCUAAAUAUUCACCACUGAAUGUCCAUGAAACCCAUGAUUGAGAGUGGGGAUAAGAGGAAUAGGAUAUUAGCUCAUUUGAAAAAAGAAAAAAGUGGGAGGUUGUGACAUUGGAAGGGGUCAAGUAGGGUCAGCAAAUUAUGUCCCACUGGCCAAAUCUAGCCCACCAAUUGUUUUCAUAAAUAAAGUUUUACUGGAAUACAGUCAUGACCAUUUGUUUGUAAAUUCAGUGGCUGCUACAGCAGCUCAGUGAAUCACUGUAACAAAAACCAAAUGGCCCAUGAAGCCUAAAAUAUUUACAGUCUGGACCUAUGGAGAAAUAUUAGUAGAUUUCUGGGCUAGGAGAUAUGGAAGAAUAAAACUGGUGUAUGCUGGUUUCUUAUCCCUCUUCCUGGACAUUCUUUCUGAAACCCACUGUUAUUACAGGAGGAAAAUAACAAACAGUUGUAAAAUUUUAAUACGUUACAAGUAGGGUACAAAGGACUUUACAUAUUAUUAACUCCUUGAAUUUUCACGACAAACUAUGAAGUAGUUGCUAUUGUUAUCCAAACCUCUUUUUUUGGUAGAUGAGGAAACUGACAUCAAAUGACUUGCACAGGAUUAUAACUCUGGGAAGUGGUGGAGGGAGGAAUCCUGCCUGGAAGGCAGACUCCAGAGCCUGUGUUUCUAACUGCUUUAUUAUACCGCCUCUUAGAGAAAUGAGAGCAGAAGGGAUCAAAAAGAGCCAGCUCUGUUCACUUGUAAAUACAAACUUUCUGUUCUCUUGGCUCAGUCAUCUUCUUUAUUUACUGCCCUAAUUCCUCUAGGUGGUCUAGCAACACUGCUUAAUCAACAUGACUCAGCCUAGAGCUGAUUUAAACCUUCUCCAAGUCACCUGACCUGAGAUGAACCAAUCAGAGUCCUUUCCUUCCUAGGAACUGAAAGGAUGAGAAAGCCAAUCUCUUCAUGGGGCUGGGCUUGAAAUAUGUAUCGUAGAACCUACUUAGGAUGGUCAGAUAAAAUAGAGAAUUCCCACUGAAAUUUCAAUUUCUGAUUAAAAAAAUAAAUAAUUUUCUACAUAAGUAUAUAAAUAUUGAAUAGGACACAUGCUAAAAAAAUUCCUCAUUUUUAAUCUGAAAUUCAAAUUUAACUGAGUGUAGUACAUAUACAUAUACAUCUAUAUAACACAUACUAUAUAAAAUAUAAAAUAUAUAACAUAUUAUGCAUAAAUAUAUAUAUAUAUAUUUCUAAAUCUGGUAGCCAUAUGAAAACCCUUAUUUUGGAGAAGUUUGAAUGCAGAACAGGAGAGAUUAAGCAGAUAUACAGAGAAGAAGUGACAGAAGAGAGGCAGUAUCUCUCAGAUCCUGGCUCAGUUCCUUCCUACAUUCUCAGCCUUGGGUUCCAUUAGGCUUGCACUUACAACCAGAACACCCUUAGAAUAUAACCCUUCAGCAGAAAAUGUGCAUGUCCAAGUGUCAGUGUUAUUAAUGAUACUGCAGUGGAGUUUAGACGCAAUAUUCAAAUCCAUCUCUCCAUUUUUUUCUAGAACUCUUCAAAAUAGUCUGGUUUACAUGGACACACAUGUCCACAAAAAUAUUCUUUCUUCCAUCUCCAUCUUACUGAUUUAGAAUUUCUCUGUUGGAGUUCCCAUUAUGGCUCAGUGGUUAACAAAUCCGACUAGGAACCAUGAAGUUGUGGGUUCGAUCCCUGGCCUUGCUCAGUGGGUUAAGGAUCCAGUGUUGCCAUGAGCUGUGGUGUAGGUCACAGACGUGGCUUGGAUCCCGCGUUGCUGUGGCUGUGGCCUAGGCCAACGGCUGCAGCUCUGAUUAGACCCCUAGCCUGGGAACCCCCAUAUGCUG
rnacentral:lncRNA from 1 species